GACGAACGCUGCGGCGUGCUUAACACAUGCAAGUCGAACGGUGAAAGCGGAGCUUGCUCCGCUGGAUCAGUGGCGAACGGGUGAGUAACACGUGGGCAACCUGCCCCUGACUUCGGGAUAACUCCUCGAAAGAGGUGCUAAUACCGGAUACGAAUCCUGCAGGCAUCUGCGGGAUUGGAAAGUUUUUCGGUCAGGGAUGGGCCCGCGGCCUAUCAGCUUGUUGGUGAGGUAGUGGCUCACCAAGGCGACGACGGGUAGCCGGCCUGAGAGGGCGACCGGCCACACUGGGACUGAGGCACGGCCCAGACGGCUAGGGGAGGCAGGAGUGGGGAAUAUUGCGCAAUGGGCGAAGGCCUGACGCAGCAACGCCGCGUGAGGGAUGACGGCCUUCGGGUUGUAAACCUCUUUCAGCAGGGAAGAAGCGAAAGUGACGGUACCUGCAGAAGAAGCACCGGCUAACUACGUGCCAGCCGCCGCAGUAA
rnacentral:rRNA from 1 species